UAGAAAUAACCAACCAAAUCAAAAUACAAACACAAUUUUUAUAUGAAAAACCUUUGUGACAAAAGAACCACGGCACGGUACAGAGAGACAAAGAUAUCUAAUGUAGUCAAAAUCUUAGAGUUAUACCACUCAUCUUUUCUGAUUAAAGAAGGAACCCAAUCUUCCCUUACAAUGCAUAAUCUAAGAAAAACCUACCUUUUAAGAAAAUCAUUUCCUAAGUUCUUAUAAGUGCAGAAAACCCUCUCACCUUACAAAACCCUUGCCCCUUUGAGCGAAUUCAUUUAACUACAUUCCAAUGCCCUUUUCCCGGAUUCCACCAUACGUCUAUUGACUACGCUAACCGCUUGUGACAUUUCUAGCCUUGUGUAAACCAUUGCAUUCGUAAGACUCCCCACUACAUUCAUGUACAGCACUCAUGACAUGUCUGAUAUCUCCUCUCUUGUGAUGGGAGAUGACUUUGAUGAUAACUUAAAGUGAUUGUUGUGCUAUGCCAGCAUUCAGACAACAGACCUCAAGAUAACUGAGGAACUUUUCGAUUUCCAUGAGGCAUAGCUUCCAAUGAUGUGUAUCAAGAUCAGAUUCAGCAGUUCCUAAUAGCAAUGAAGUUUCAAUGCCAUUGGGAAAGAACUGUAUAUUGUUAUAUUCAUCAAUCAUCACAGAGGAAAAUGGAAAAAAUGAAAAAAAAAAACAAUAAAUAAAUAAAAUCUUAAAUAGGGAAUUUGGAGUAUGGAGGACUAGCUCUCCAUCAGCUGUCUCUGGAUAUGGAGGGGCUGGCAAUCCAUCAGCUUCGAGGGGCAGGGGCAAAAACUCAUUCAUCAACCAGUGAUAGUCCUAUGCCGAGGACAUGUCCAGUAUCUCCCAUUGGAAGCCCUCUCCUCCACCCAAGAUCUCCUCAACAUAUGAAUGGAAGGAUGUCCACUUCUCCCAUAUCCAGUCCUAGAACUACCUCUGGGUCGUCGACCCCUUUCAUCACCUCCAGCAGUCCGCAUUCCACCAUGAUGGCUUUGGAAGCACGCCAAGGUCUCCGAACAGUCUGUACCCUAAUGGCUCCACCUAUCACGAGCCCAAGCCCGGCUUCUUCCGAGCAAUGCAGCCAGGUGGCCCUCAUGCCUUCCAGGAACUAAUUGCUUCUGAAAAUGACAUCCUUGGAAAGCCAUUUGGAAGACCGGCUCAUGGCAGCGAUCCCUGGGAACUGUAUGAUGGGCAGCCAGUGUUGGCCGAUCGUGUGUCGUCGCAGCAGCUCUUGAGGGAUCAUGUGAAGUCGAACCCUGCACUUGAUCUUACCAGUCCAUCCUUGCCAAUGCUUGGCCGAUCCAAUGGCAUCUGAUUUGACAUGGGCAAACUAUCAGAGCAUGCCUGUUUUGAUCAUCUUGAGUUAAUUUUCUUUUCUUGAUU